CCUACGGGGGGCAGCAGUGAGGAAUAUUGGUCAAUGGACGAGAGUCUGAACCAGCCAAGUAGCGUGAAGGAUGACUGCCCUAUGGGUUGUAAACUUCUUUUAUAUGGGAAUAAAACAGGGUAUGCAUACCCUCUUGUAUGUACCAUAUGAAUAAGUAUCGGCUAACUCCGUGCCAGCAGCCGCGGUAAUACGGAGGAUCCGAGCGUUAUCCGGAUUUAUUGGGUUUAAAGGGAGCGUAGGUGGAUUGUUAAGUCAGUUGUGAAAGUGUGCGGCUCAACCGUAAGAUUGCAGUUGAAACUGGCAGUCUUGAGUAGAGUAGAGUUGGGCGGAAUGCGUGGGUGAGCGGUGAAAUGCUUAG
rnacentral:rRNA from 1 species